rnacentral:rRNA from 1 species
AUGUCUGUGGUCAAGUUGGAGGUCACUAGAAACGGGGUUGAUUCUACAGGCACCGGUUUCGUUGUUCAUUAUCAUGGACGAACAUGCCUUGUUAUGACAGCUCGGCAUUGUGUCCAUAUUGUCCAUGGGAGAGUGGCAAUCACGGUUUUGCUCCCUCGACCUGGUCCUGGUGUGGGGGAAGUUCGGUUCCCUGGGGCUACUGUGCUACGAUCGGGCCCUGUCGACCUGGCAUUACUUCGACUGGAUAAUGUGGUCGGAGAGUUCCGACCUAUGAUAUUUGCGGAAGUACCUAAUGUUACUAGUUUUAGAGGGGUGGUAGUAUAUGUUCAUGGAUUUUACCCUCAUGCGGGGGGAACAGUUGUCCGACCUGGGAGAUUUCCUGGCCACAUUAAUGGUGUUUACCAACUGGGUGAUUUUACAUACCUUGACGGAGACUUCACAUCUGAGUCUGGAACGUCUGGUGGACCAGUUACCAUGGGAGAUAGAGUUAUUGGAGUAAAUGUGCAAAGUGUGGGAGGAUCGAGAUGCGCGGUUUCCCCUCUGACACUAUACAUGACAUUUAUGAAUUGGUGUGGUUUUAAUGGCGGAGACCAUACAAUUGCUGCGAUGAUACAACGCCUUGCUGCCUAA